ACGGGUGAGUAAUGCCUAGGAAUCUGCCUGGUAGUGGGGGACAACGUUUCGAAAGGAACGCUAAUACCGCAUACGUCCUACGGGAGAAAGCAGGGGACCUUCGGGCCUUGCGCUAUCAGAUGAGCCUAGGUCGGAUUAGCUAGUUGGUGGGGUAAUGGCUCACCAAGGCGACGAUCCGUAACUGGUCUGAGAGGAUGAUCAGUCACACUGGAACUGAGACACGGUCCAGACUCCUACGGGAGGCAGCAGUGGGGAAUAUUGGACAAUGGGCGAAAGCCUGAUCCAGCCAUGCCGCGUGUGUGAAGAAGGUCUUCGGAUUGUAAAGCACUUUAAGUUGGGAGGAAGGGCAGUAAGUUAAUACCUUGCUGUUUUGACGUUACCGACAGAAUAAGCACCGGCUAACUCUGUGCCAGCAGCCGCGGUAAUACAGAGGGUGCAAGCGUUAAUCGGAAUUACUGGGCGUAAAGCGCGCGUAGGUGGUUCGUUAAGUUGGAUGUGAAAGCCCCGGGCUCAACCUGGGAACUGCAUCCAAAACUGGCGAGCUAGAGUACGGUAGAGGGUGGUGGAAUUUCCUGUGUAGCG
rnacentral:rRNA from 1 species